AAAAAAAAAAAAGUCUACAUCCGGCCGAUUUGACCGAUUCUUCGAUCUGAAUCACUGAUCUAGACUCGACAGUUUUCCGACUGCACUUUCCAAAUUAAAACAUUAGUAUAAGCCAAGGUUGAAAAUUCAGCGCCCAAUUUGGAUCGGAAAUCGUUGAUGAUGAUCCUAUCUAGAACUGGUCAGGUUUCCCCUUGAACGGGACGGGUGAGAGAGACGAGUCCUGUUUAUCAGGACCAACAACACCUUAGCCUUCUAAUGAUAAAAACAAACUCAUAUUGAAGAUAUUUGCAACAAAAUGAAAAGAUAAUGCAGCAAAAUGAAGAGAUAAUGUCCCACUUAUUAAUCACGAGAGCGUGAGAUUCUCUUGAAGCCAUUUUGAAUUCUUGAGGCUGAUAAUGACUAUCCCACCACCAUAAUAAUCCCAAAGACCAAUAAAAAUAUAAGAGAGAAAAAAGUUUCAUCACCAAAGCUACAAAUCACACUUCAAAAACACUCCCAAAAUAGGAUCAGGGAAUACUUGAUCUUCCUGUUUCUCUCUUUAAACUCGCAAUUUUCUCUAAUCAUAUAAACUAGCUUUAAAAAAGAAAAGCCCAGUAAUAGUUCCAAAACCCAAAAAAACCUCUAAAUUCUAAAAAGAUCCCAUCUAAGCACUCACGCAAAAAAGAAAAAAAAAAAAAAGGAAAAGAAAAGGAGUCUAAUUUGCUGCAAAACGAGUGCUUUCUUAACAUAAUAAAAUCCAAGACCAGGAAACAAAAUCAAAGAGUCCUCAAAUUGCUAUCAUUGUCAAAUAUGACUUGUGAGUCUUAAUCAAUAACACACAAUUGACACGGUCACAACUGUUUUUUUUUUAAAAAAUUAAUGUAAACAAGAAACCAAAGAUGCAAAAUUGAUGGAGGUAGCGAGAGAGAAAAGAAAACAAAGUUGCACCAAAUUAUGAAAACAAAAAAAAAACGAGACUCUACCUAGAAGCAAAUAAAUAAAACUAUAUUUUUUCUUUUGUUUUUCCUUCAAACACAUAGGCCCUCAAAGGAGAUCUUUAGCUUUUUUUCUUCCGUGCACAUAUCUAGAUCUAGCUCAAAAUGCCCCACGGUGGGCACCAAACUAUUUACAGUGCAAAUCGGGGAGAUUUUCGACUAAAUAUCCCUCAUAUCUGAACACCAAUAACUCAAUUUUUAAAAGUGAUAGAAAGUGGGGACAAUCAAAUUCUGAUUCGAGGCCAGAUCUACUCAGAAGCGAGCAUAUCUGCUUUCAGAUCAAUGGCAAAGCUAACAUUGAUCCAAAAACACAAAAGAUUGAAUGAAAAACGAAUAAAAUCCUAAAUCUAACAAAAAUAACUAAAAGUGAGAGGAAAAAAAGAUGAGAAAAAUACCUGGUCCGGCAGACCCCGAGGCUUUGAGGCCUCAUCCGUAUUAGAACUGCGGUUGUAAUUUCCGUUGUGGAUCCUCCAUAUCUCUCUUCAAUAUUAACCAAGUCUUAUCCUGGUUGAAUGAUUUUCUUGGAUCUAAUCUGAACUUAAGGUUGCAGGUUUAAUUGCUAGAGUUUGCUACGUUUUUUUUUUUUAGAUCUAGGGUUUUUCACAAGUUUCUCUUCUAGCUUCUGCUCCAUCUCUAGAUCUAGGGUUUUGCAUAAGUUUUUCUUCCCAAC
rnacentral:lncRNA from 1 species